rnacentral:rRNA from 1 species
UACAGAGGGGGCAAGCGUUGUUCGGAAUUACUGGGCGUAAAGGGCGCGUAGGCGGCCUGUUAAGUCGAACGUGAAAUCCCCGGGCUCAACCCGGGAACUGCGUCCGAUACUGGCAGGCUUGAAUUCGGGAGAGGGAUGCGGAAUUCCAGGUGUAGCGGUGAAAUGCGUAGAUAUCUGGAGGAACACCGGUGGCGAAGGCGGCAUCCUGGACCGAGAUUGACGCUGAUGCGCGAAGGCCAGGGGAGCAAACGGG